rnacentral:rRNA from 1 species
AUGCGGCGCGACGCCGACGCGGUCCGCCACGACCGCCUGCAGCUUCCGCACGCCCAGCGACGGCUACACGGUCAGCGUGCCCAGGUCCACCCUCUGCUCCCGAUCCCAUCCCCCCUCCCCUCACCUCCGCCGGAUCGCCGCUUCCGUGAGCCUAACGCCGGUCGUCUUCCCCGCAGGUCGGAGGUGCAUCGGGACGGGGGCUGCCGCCGGGCGGUGCACGUGUGGAUCUACUGCGAGAGCACCGGGGAGCUGCUGCUGCAGCGCCGCACCGACUGCAAAGACUCGUGGCCCGGCCAGUGGGACAUCUCCAGCGCCAGCCACAUCUCCGUUGGGGACUCCUUCCUCUCCUCCGUGCGGUGA